CCGUAAACAAAGAAAUAAAUUAUAAAAAUAACAAUUUAUAGAUAAAAAGAAAAUAGUGAUUAAAUCAAUAAUAAAAUAGUGUACCAUAUAGUCUCAAUUUAGUCCUUAAAUCUAAGUCUAAAUCUAUUAACAUUUAAAAAUUAAUACAUACAUAAAUUAUGUUUAAUAGUUUUAAAAUUUUAUAAAAAAUUGAUUAUAGAAACUUAAAUUUAUUGAACAUAAAUAAUUACACAAGUAUAUAAACUAUUAAGUCUUGAGGAUCAAAAAUAUUGUUACUCUGGGAAUGACACAUUUUGAGAUCAUCUCAUAAAUUACUGAACUUAAAAAAAAAAACAAAUCUUAAGUAUCAGCUUUGAAGAGAGCCUUGAUCUACAAUAUUAUUUAUAUUUUUUCUAAUUCAAUACACUUUAUUUUCAUCACUGAUUCAAUUUGGGUCAAAUUCUAUAGAGAUAAUAGUUAUAAGUUGAGAUAUACUGAAUCAAAAGAAUAAUUGUGUCAUUUAACUUUAAAUUAUUAUUACUACUACAUUUAUUUAGAAUUAGAGAUCAAAAUACCAGGUAUAUUCAGUAAAAUAUUAUGAAAACCAACAAAUAGUAAAUACAUUCCUAAAAUAUUGAUGUUAAAAAAUAAUAUUUAAUUCCACAUUUUUGGAUAGGAACUUAGUAUUUAAUCAUUAAUUUAUUUUUAUUUUUUAUUUAUAUAUUUAUUUAAUAUACUCUUUUACAUUAUAUAUAAUAAUUUUUACUAUUUUUGAAUAUCUUAUACAAAUGUAUAUAAAAGAUGAAAUU